UACAGAGGUCUCAAGCGUUGUUCGGAUUCAUUGGGCGUAAAGGGUGUGUAGGUGGCGCGCUAAGUCGGGUGUGAAAUUUCGGAGCUUAACUCCGAAACUGCAUUCGAUACUGGCGUGCUUGAGGACUGGAGAGGAGACUGGAAUUCAUGGUGUAGCAGUGAAAUGCGUAGAGAUCAUGAGGAAGACCAGUGGCGAAAGGCGGGUCUCUGGACAGUUCCUGACACUGAGACACGAAGGCCAGGGGAGCAAAACGGG
rnacentral:rRNA from 1 species